AUCUCUUCUUGGCCUUUUGGCCAAGAUCAAGUGUAGUAUCUGUUCUUAUCAGUUUAGAAGAACAGAUUCCAAAAUGGAUACAUUUCCAAACACUGGCAUUCCUU
ensembl:snRNA U2 U2 spliceosomal RNA